UCUCUUUUUUUUAAUCCUCUUUAUGCACAUAUUCCAUCAAUCAGAUGGAAAAGGAUGUUGGAAGAAAAUAACCCUAUCAAGCAACAUAUAAUUUGUAACGACUAAAAUGUUUUCUUUUUGCCGUUAUUAGGCUAUGCUUUAAUUCUAAUUCAGGCUAAAUGACAGGUAUUGAGUCAAACCAGAUUGAAUGGUGAAGCCUCGGCUCAUUCUUUUGUUGAUAUUGAGGGUUUUGGUCACUACUUACUCCAUCCUCAGGCAUGCCUUCAGCCUCUUGAAGAAAUGGUUGGACAUCUGCUGAAGUCAAACCCACAGGUGGCCAAUGAGCUGCUCGAACACAAGGGCUUCGCCAUUGUGCCCAUGGAUUCUGCCUACGCUAUUCUUCAGACUAGCUUGAACCCUUGCUCCAAUUCCUGCCAGUGAUGAUCAAAUUUUACCUACAAUAAGAUUUUUUUUUAGGCCAUUUCAUUGCCUUAUACAUCGUAGUUUUCGACUUUUACUGGUUCGCUUGAGCUGCAUGCUUGAUGUUAACGUAGCUAUGGUUUUCCUUCGCACUUGAUGCUCUUUCAAUGAAAUAUUCGGUUUAGAUAUAAGGAACAGUAUUGUUUUCGAGUAAAA